CCUGUGCUCUCGAGGUCACAGCU
rnacentral:miRNA from 1 species